CCUUGUUAGUUUCUUUUCCUCCGCUUAUUGAUUACCCGCUGAACUUAAGCAUAUCAAUAAGCGGAGGAAAAGAAACUAACAAGGAUUCCCCUAGUAACUGCGAGUGAAGCGGGAAAAGCUCAAAUUUAAAAUCUGGUAGUCCUUGCGGCUGCCCGAGUUGUAAUCUAGAGAAGCAUUAUCCGCGCUGGACCGUGUACAAGUCUCCUGGAACGGAGCGUCAUAGAGGGUGAGAAUCCCGUCUUUGACACGGACUACCAGGGCUUUGUGAUGUGCUCUCAAAGAGUCGAGUUGUUUGGGAAUGCAGCUCUAAAUGGGUGGUAAAUUCCAUCUAAAGCUAAAUAUUGGCGAGAGACCGAUAGCGAACAAGUACCGUGAGGGAAAGAUGAAAAGAACUUUGGAAAGAGAGUUAAACAGUACGUGAAA
rnacentral:rRNA from 1 species